AUUGAACGCUGGCGGCAUGCUUUACACAUGCAAGUCGAACGGCAGCGCGGGCUUCGGCCUGGCGGCGAGUGGCGAACGGGUGAGUAAUGCAUCGGAACGUGCCCAGUAGUGGGGGAUAGCCCGGCGAAAGCCGGAUUAAUACCGCAUACGACCUGAGGGUGAAAGCGGGGGACCGAAAGGCCUCGCGCUAUUGGAGCGGCCGAUGUCGGAUUAGCUAGUUGGUGGGGUAAAGGCUUACCAAGGCGACGAUCCGUAGCUGGUCUGAGAGGACGACCAGCCACACUGGGACUGAGACACGGCCCAGACUCCUACGGGAGGCAGCAGUGGGGAAUAUUGCACAAUGGGUGGAAGCCUGAUGCAGCAACGCCGUGUGCGGGAUGACGGCCUUCGGGUUGUAAACCGCUUUCGCUCAUGACGAAGCUUUGUGUGACGGUAGUGGGUAAAGAAGCACCGGCUAACUACGUG
rnacentral:rRNA from 1 species